GCCGGCGUGGCGAAAUGGCAGACGCAAGGGACUUAAAAUCCCUUUCCACGCAAGUGGAGUGCGGGUUCGAGUCCCGCCGCCGGCA
rnacentral:tRNA from 1 species